ACGGGAGGCAGCAGUGGGGGAUAUUGCACAAUGGGGGAAACCCUGAUGCAGCGACGCCGCGUGAGUGAAGAAGUAUUUCGGUAUGUAAAGCUCUAUCAGCAGGGAAGAAAAUGACGGUACCUGACUAAGAAGCUCCGGCUAAAUACGUGCCAGCAGCCGCGGUAAUACGUAUGGAGCAAGCGUUAUCCGGAUUUACUGGGUGUAAAGGGAGCGCAGACGGUUUGCCAAGUCUGAUGUGAAACCCCGGGGCUUAACCCCGGGCAUGCAUUGGAAACUGUCGGACUAGAGUGUCGGAGAGGAAAGCGGAAUUCCUAGUGUAGCGGUGAAAUGCGUAGAUAUUAGGAGGAACACCAGUGGCGAAGGCGGCUUUCUGGACGAUAACUGACGCUGAGGCUCGAAAGCGUGGGGAGCAAACAGGAUUAGAUACCCUGGUA
rnacentral:rRNA from 1 species